ACGUACACUCCUACGGGAGGCAGCAGUGGGGAAUAUUGGACAAUGGGCGAAAGCCUGAUCCAGCAAUGCCGCGUGAGUGAUGAAGGCCUUAGGGUUGUAAAGCUCUUUUACCCGGGAUGAUAAUGACAGUACCGGGAGAAUAAGCCCCGGCUAACUCCGUGCCAGCAGCCGCGGUAAUACGGAGGGGGCUAGCGUUGUUCGGAAUUACUGGGCGUAAAGCGCGCGUAGGCGGCUUUGUAAGUUAGAGGUGAAAGCCCGGAGCUCAACUUCGGAAUUGCCUUUAAGACUGCAUCGCUAGAAUCGUGGAGAGGUGAGUGGAAUUCCGAGUGUAGAGGUGAAAUUCGUAGAUAUUCUGAAGAACACCAGUGGCGAAGGCGACUCACUGGACACGUAUUGACGCUGAGGUGCGAAAGCGUGGGGCGCAAACAGGAUUAGAUACCCUUGUAGUCCCA
rnacentral:rRNA from 1 species